UGGGAGCCCCCGUCCUCCGGAGGAAGCAGGGUUUCCAGAUCGAGGCUGCGGACCUGCCCGCCCCCUGGGCCCCACGCCACCUGCAAGGGUCCAGGAAUUUGGCUGGGGAAUUUCAUUCAUCAUUCCUGCGGUUUGCAGCCAUAGCAAUAACUUUGGCUCUCCGGAACGCCACUGAAGUCACCAUUCUUCAGGCUGACCCUACCUACAUGAGCAGAGGAUGACCCCCGCCAGGAGUCCGAGGAGGGGACCAGAGGAAGUAACACAGGACAGGAACCUGUCGCAUAGGGAGGGGGCAGGCUCCAGUGCGAGGAGUUGUUAACACCAGGAGUCUUCGGAAAG